GUUUAUUCACAAAAUAUUAACUUACAAUAACUUACAAAAUAUUAUCUCAUUUGAUCCUCUCAACAACCCUGUAAGGCUUGUGCCAUUAUCAUCCCCAUUUUGUUGUUGAGGAAACUGAGACACACAGAAGUUUCUUCAACAAACCAAGCCAAAAAUGAUAUCCAAUAGAAGGCACAGAUAACGUCUGUAGCUAUUGUGAAACAUUGUAACUGUGGGAAAAGUCCCAUCUUCCAAACAGCCUAACUAGAAGCCACUGGGAAAGGAAUGAGCUGUGCUGGAAAGAGAACGGUGCUGAUGAGAAUCACCAAAGUCCAUGGCAAGACAAAAGUCAAGAUGAUUGGUUCAGUGUUUGACCAAUCUCUAAGUGCUCUGCAGCAACUGCUUCAGCUACCUUCAUGAACACUGGAAUAAAUCGUUCUCAUCUGCCCAUUCCUCUAGCGAAAGUCUUCACAUGCCUGAGGUGUUUUGGCUGCUAAAUUUAGAGGCAGAAGCCAAUCAAAAGGAAUGAGAUUCAACCCUCUGUUCCAUUGGAGCUUAGUUGUUUAUGGAUCCAUUACAUCCCUGGCCAUCACUAGUCAUCCUGACUUUUGCCUUGCCAAUGGACUUGGAAGAGUCUGGAAAAGAGUGUGAGACCAAUGCCUUUGUGAAUUUUAAAACUACUCCACCCUACUCCAGCCAUACUUUAGAACAGUGGUUCUCAACCUUUCUAAUGCCAUGACCCCAUAAUACAGUUCCUCAUGUUGCAGUGACCCCAAACCAAAAAAUUAUUUUGGUGGCUACUUCAAAACUGUAAUUUUGCUACAGUUAUGAUUCGGAAUGUAAAUACCUGAUAUGCAUCAUGUAUUCUCAUUGCUACAAAUUGAGAGGUUGAGAACGGCUGCUUUAGAAAAUCUUAUUUAGCUAUUUCCAGAUUAGUACCAAUAGAGAUACUUGGUUUAAUAGAAUCAAAUCUUGAGAACUAUACAUUUUCCCCUACUUAGUUUAACAAGGUCAGGAUGCCUGCACCAUACUCAAAGAUUUAAUUAUCUGAGGAAAUGACCUUCAACAGAUGUGCAGAAAAAGCAGACAGACCCAUGGGCUGUCCUAAGUCAAGGUAAGCUAUCAUUGGUACAGAUGAGAUGCAGAAAAGUGAUGUAAAACCGUCUAUAUAAGGCACGCCACUUGCUCUCUCUCUCUCUUUUCCCCAGAAAGGCAACUCUGACUGGCAGGGUGCUAAGCAUUCUGACAUCUUGGCAUGGUGGCAGCUAUUGUCUGGGUUUGGUGGUGAGUUUGCCCUUGAGCUAAUUCAGGUUCAGGCAUCUUGGCUGAGCCCUUUGGAGUUCAGGCUGAUUCUUUCCUCCUUACUCUUCAAAAACAUUAUCUUCCUAGAGCCUCUGGUCUUCCUCCUGGCACUAGCCAGGCGGGAGAAAUUAUACAGCCUUUUUCUUCUUCCUUCUUCUUAAUUUCUUUCCACUAUAUCAAUUUAAUCACCAUAAAUUUCCAGCUGACUUGGUUAUAUUUCUUUUAUAUUUGGGAUAUCCAUGGAGACCAAAUAAUUAACAUAGUUUAGGUCACAAAACUAAAUUAUCCUUUACAGUAAUUCUGCCUUACUUAAAUCUAAUUCAUGUACAAGUUAAGAUAUGACCCUUGAUAUCACUGGUCCUCUUUGAAAACAAAGAACAAACAAUAAUAACUGGCAUUCACUUUGUUUCCUCAAUUAAACUGUGAAUGCCUUGAGAGCAAGGAUUGAUUUUUGCCUUUGUAUUCCCAGGAUUUAGCACAGUGCCUGGCACAUAGGAGGUAUUUAACAAAUAUUUAAUGACUGACUUACUAACUGAAAAAUUGCUACUAAUCUGAACCACUGAUCAUUUUUACCACAGCACAAUAGAGGCAAUGAUGACUACAUGAAGUGAGCAGGACUAGGAACCACUUAAUAUCUUCUAUUUAUAGUCACCAUAUAGUCUUCAUUUGAGUUUCACAUAUAGAACUUUAGUUCAUGGACAAUGUUCUAUAAAUGACAGCAAUAAAAGUACUUAGAGCCUUCAUUAAAUGUAUCUUUUAAAAUGUAUGAAUAACUAGUAUCAAGAGAGCAAGAAGAAAAUCCCUAUUUAAACACUACAGCAACAUGAGCUGAUAUGUGACUCAUAGGGAAAUAAAUAACAUUGCCUAUAGUUUAUUAGUUUCUAGCUCCCCAAAGUCCACUUGUUCAAAUCUCUGUUAUUUAUAAAACUUCAUGCUUCAAAACAAUGAAUUGCCAACAUAUUUCAAAACCACAAAAUGUCAUGACUCCUCCAUAAGUUUCUUUUUUUAAAAAAAAUAGGGAUACCGAAGAAUACUCAAAUCAUUGAACUUAUUGAUUUAGCAGAAAUACAUACGUAGGAUGAACAUUUUAAUAUAUUUUCAUCUUUUAUAUUGAUAUUGUUUAAUAGCAGAACUAUGAUUCAUGUAUUAUACAAACUGUUAGCCAUGACUCUGUUGAGAUGGUCUGUGAAAGAAAAGAGAAUUAAACUUGGCAGUACCAGAAAUCAGAACCAAGACCACAGAAAAGAAGUUGCAAAGAGGAAAAUUUAAGCUCACAUUAAAACACUUUCUAGCAAUUAGGUCCAUCCCAAGGUUGAAUGGACGUAAAUGGAAAGGAUUCUAGAAAGUCAAAGAUUACCCCCAAUAUUAAGAAAUUAAUAGGGAAGCCAUUCACAAUCCUGAAAGUUGUUUCUUCAAACUUAAAUGAUAUUCAAAUGAAUACACGGAGUUGCAUGCUGAUAGCUAAGAUGGCAGAGUAAAGGAUGCUCUGCUCCCUCAAUCCCUCCAUGCACCCAAAAAAGGCACCCAAAUAGAAGCAGGGUACCUGAGAUGGUGGAUCCCAGAGUUGAGAGCAUGCCAGAUAAGAUAUGGAGAAAGGGAGAGGGGAACCAACUAUAAAAAUAAGCAAAAGAUUUUUACAAAAAAACAUAACUUUAGAAAGUUGCUUUAGUGACAGGAAAGUUCAAAGUAUAAACUCACACGAGGAUAACAAUGCCAAAAAUGAAACAUGUGGAGCCUCAAAGGAAAGUAAAAGACAUCAAACCUUACAGGAAUCCCUAGGAGAGCUUCAAGAAGAAAAUAAUAAAUAAAUUAAAAGCAAAUAAUAAGAAAAUUGAAAGAAAAACUGAAGAACUGGGGAGGGGGCAAUAUUCACUGAAGAAAAGAACUCCCUAGACCAAAUGAAAAUGGAGGCAAAAACCACUGGGAAAAAACUCUUUAAACAUUAGGAUUAGUCAAAUGGAAAAGGUAACAUGAAAACUCAAGGAAGAAAAUAAAUAAAAAUUAGAACUGGGCAAAUAGAAUCUAAUGAAAACAUAAGACAUAAGGAAAUAUUUUUUUUUUAAUUUUAACUGAAAGAAUUGAAGAAAAUCUAAACUGCUUCACUGGCAAAAUGAAUAGCCUAGAAAAUAGAUCAAGAGAUCAUCUAAAAAUCAUCACAACAUCUGAAAGCCAUGAUCAGAAAAAGAGCCUGGAUACCAUAUUACAGAAAAUCAAAAGGGAAAAUUGCCCUGAUAUCAUUGAGCAAGAGGGAAAAAGAGAAAUAGAGAGAAUCCACCAAUCACCUCCAGAAAGAGAACCCAAAAUAUCAAUAACCCAGGACUACUGUAGUCAAAUUCCAGAACUCCCAGGCCAAGGAAAAAAGACUACAAUCUGAAAGAAGUAAAUGAUUCAAAUGUCAAAGAAACACAGUCAAGAUUAUGCAGGGUCUGGCCACUUCUAUAUUAAAGGGCCAGAAGGCAUGGAAUAUGAUAUUCCAAAAGGCAAAGAAUCUAGGACUACAACCUCAAAUUAUAUAUCAAACAAAAUUAAGCAUAAUUAUCCAAAGGAAAAAUUGAAACUUAAUGAAAUAAAGGAAAUAAAUAGGAAAACCUUACAAGUGGGGAAUCUCAACCUUCCCUCCUCAGAAGCAGAUAAAUCUAACAAAAAAAAUAAAUAAACCACAUAGAAGUUAAGGAAAUAAACAGAAUUUUUAAAAGUUGGAUAUGAUAGAUAUCUGGAGAGAACUGAAUGGGAAAAAAAAGAAAUAUCAUUUUUCUCAGCAGUACAUUGCACCUUCACAAAAACUGACUACAUAAUUGGGCAUAAAUAUCUCACAUUCAAAUGUAGAAAAGCAGAAAUUUUAAAUGCACACAUUUUAGACCAUAAUGCAAUAAAAAUUGCACUCAAUAAUGAGCAGCAGAUAUAUAGGCUAAACAUUAAUUGGAAGUUCAACAUUCUUUUCCUAAAGAACAAAUGGGCCAAAGAACAAAUCAUAGAAAUGAUCAAUAAUUUUAUUAAAGAAAAUGAUAAUAAGAAGACAACAUAUAAAUAUUUAUGGGAUACAGCCAAAGCAGUACUUAAAGGAAAAUCAGAUCUCUUAAUGCUUACAUUAAUAAAAUAAAUAAAAAGUAAAUCAAUGAAUGGGACAUGCAACUAAAAAAACUAGAAAAAGAACAAUCUAAAAAUCCCCAAUUAAGCAUCAAAUUAGAAACCUGAAAAUUAAGGGAUAGAUUAAACAAAAUUGAAAGUAAGGAAUACAUUAAACUAAUUAAUAAGAAAUAAAUAAAACAAAUAAACAUCUGAUUAAUUGAAUUUUAAAAAGAAAGAACACCAAAUUUCCAGCAUCAAAAAUGAAAAAAAAAAGAUGAAAUCACAAUCAAUGAAAAAGAAACUAAAGCAAUUAUUGGAAGUUAUUUUGCCCAACUAUAUGCCAAUAAAUCUGACAAUAUAAGUGAAUUAGAUAAAUACUUAUCAAUAAAUAGAUAAACUACUUGGACUAACAAAAGAGGAAAAACAGUACUUAAGCAACCUCAUCACAGAAAAAGAAAUUGAACAAAUCAUCAAAAAAUUUCCUAAGAAAAAGGUCCCAAUGCCAGAUGAAUUCAUAAAUGAAUUUUACUAAUCAAAGGACAACUAACUACAAUACUACAUAAACUACUUAGAAAAAAAUAGGGGAAAAUCUUUUUUUAUGAAACAAAUAUGGUAUCAACAUCUAAAUCAGGAAGAGAGAAAACAGAGAAAGAAAACUAUGUGCCAAUCUCCAUAAUGAACAUUGAUGCAAUAAUUUUAAAUAAAAUAUUAAGAUUACAACAUUUUAUCACAAGAAGAAUAUACUAUGAUCAGAUGGGUUUUAUAUCAGGAAUGCAGGAAUAGUUCAAUAUUAAGAAACCAUCAGCAUACUUGACCAUUUCAGUAACAAAACCAACAGAAAUCAUAUGAUUAUUCCAAUAUAUGCAGAAAAGUCAAUUGACAAAAUAUAAUACCCAUUCCUUAUUAAAACAUUAGAAAACAUUAGGAUGAAGGGAAAAUCCUGAAAAGGAUAAAUGGUAUCUAUCCAAAACCACCAACAAGUGUUAUUUAUAAUGGGAAUAAACUAAGAUUCUUCCCAAUAAGAACAGGGUUAAAGCAAGGGUGCCCAUUACCACCACUAUUAUUUUAUACCAUACUAAAAAUGCUCAUUAUAGCAAUAAGAAUAGAAAAAAAAUUAAGGAAUUAAAAUAGGAAAUGAAAAUUUAAUGUUAUCACUCUUCUCAGACUAUAAUGGUAUACCCAGAGAACCAUAGGGCAUCAAUCAAAAAACUUUAACAACUUCAGAAAAGUUGCAGGGUACAAAAUAAAUCCAAAUAAGUCAUUAGCAUUUCUAUUUACCACCAACAAAAUCCAACAGUAAGAAUAAAAAGGGAAAUUCCAUUUAAAAUAACUCUAAACAAUAUAAAAUACCUGCAGGUACACCUAUGAAAACAAACUUACCAACUACAUGAACCUAAUUACAAACCAUUCUUCACACAAAUAAAUUUAGACCCAAACAAUUAGAAAAACAUUAAUUGUUAAUGAAUUGGUGAAGCCAGUAUAGUGAAAAUGACAAUUCUACCUAAAUUAGUUUAUCUAUUCAGUACUAUACCAAUCAAAUUACCCAAAAAUUAUUUAACAGAACUAGAAAAAAUUAACAACAGAGUUCAUCUGAAAGAACAAAAGGCCAAGAAUAUCAAGGGAAUUAAUGAGAAAAAAAUAAUAAAAGAAGGAGGCAUGACUAUACCAGAUAUUAAAUUAUACUAAAAAACAGAAAUCAUCAAACAAGCUGGUCCUGACUAAGAAAUAGUGAGGUGUAUCAGUGCAAUAAAUUAUAUAAUCAAUACAUGGCAGUUAAUGUCCAUAACAACUUAAUGUUUGAUGAACCCAAAGAUCCAAACUUUUGGGGAAAGAACUCACUAUUUGACAAAAACUGCUGGGAAAACUAGAAAGCAAUAUGGCAAAAAUUAGGCAUGGUCCACAGCUCACACCAUAUACCAAGUUAAAUUCAAAAUGGAUACUUGAUCUAGAAAUAAAGAGUAACACUAAACAAAUUAGAGGAACAUGGAAAAGUUUACCUAUGAGAACUAUGGAUAAGGGAAGAUUUUGUGAACAAACAAGACAUGGAGAACAUUAAGAAAAAUGAAAUAGAUAAUUUUUAUAUUAAAUUUAAAAGAUUAAAUGAAAUCAAUGAAACCAAUGUUAGAAGGCAAACAAUAAAUUCUGAAGUGGCAUUUUAUAGCAAAUAUUUCUGACAAAAGCCUCAUUUCUAAAAUAUGUAUAGGACUGAGUCAAAUUUAAAAUAAUGUCAAAACAUUCCCCAGUUGACAAAUGGUCAAGGGUUAUGAGCAGGUACUUCUCAGGAGAAGAAAUUAAAACUAUCCAUAGUCACAUAAAAAAUACUCCUAAUCACUAUUGAUUGGAAAAACACAAAUUAAGACAACUCUGAGACAAUACCUCACACCUACAAGAUCAACUAACAUAGCCAAAAAGGAAAAUGAUAAAUGCUGGAGAAAACAUGGGAAAAUUGAGACACUAAUAUACUAUUGCCGAAACUAAUUUAUACAACCAUUCUGGAGAGCAAUGUGGAACCAAUCUCAAAGGUCCACAAAAUUUUGCAUACCAUCUGACCCACUAAUACUACUACUAUGUCCACAUCCAAAGAGAUUAAAAAUAAGGGGAAAGAACCUAGAUAUACCGAAAUAUUUUUUAGCAGCUCUUUUAGUGGUGGCAAAGGAUUGAAAACUGAACUGUCCAUCACUUAGGGACUGGAUAAACAAGUUGUUGAUAUGUUGUAAUGGAAUAUUUUUGCACCAUAAAGAAUGAUGAACAGAAGGAGUUCAGAAAAACUUGGAAAGACUUAUCUGAACUAUUGCAAACUGAAGUGAGCAGAACCAAGAGAACAAUGUAUACAGUAACAUAAAUAUUAUACAAGGAUUAAAUGUGAAGAACUAAAUCAUUAUCACUGAGUCUCCAAGAUAACCACAAGGUAAUCAUAAAGGAAAUGUUAUCCACAGCCAAAGAAAGAACUAUUGGAAAAUGAAUGCACAUCAAUGCAUGUCAUUUUCCAUUAUAUAUCCUUCAUGAGAUUUCUGUAGUAUGUGUGACAUGUGUCUUUGAUAAUGAAAUUAGUGAUAUGGAAAUAUGUAUUACAUGAAAGUAUGAGUAUAACCUAUAUCAGACUAUUCAUUGUAUCAAAUAGAAAGAGGGAAGGGAAGGCAGGAGAAAAUCUGAAUUUUAAAAUGUCAAAAAACAAUUGUCAAAAAUUGCUUCUACAUGUAACUGAAAAAAUAAACACAAAAUAAUUUAAAUGAUACUAGCAAACAAUACAGGUGUGUAUAUGGGUGUGUAAGUGUGGAUGUGUGGGUGUAUAUAUAUUUUUUUUUUAAUCUGUUUGAGAUCAUAUCAAUGAAUUUCAGAAUCUCAAUCUCUUCUUGCUGCAGAGUUUGGUUGAUUACAUGUCCUGAAUAUUGUAGAGAAGAUUGUAGUCCAAAUGCAGGUUGGACUAGAUGUGUUUAAAGUCCCUUCUAACCUUCAAGUUGUUAUAUUUUUACAUACUUUUGGAACAGAGUCCAAAAAAUAUUGUUGAAAAAACUUAGCUUAUUUAAUAAAAAUGCAGUGGACAGGCAAACUAUAGAACAUUAUUGUUAUUGUUCAGCCACUUCAGUCAUGUCCAAUUUUUCAUAAACACAUUUUUGAGGUUUUCUUGACCAAGAUAUUGGAGUGGUCUGCCAUUUCCAUCUCCAGUCAAUUUUACAGAGGAGGAAAUCAGGGCAAACAAGAUAAAGUGGCUUGUCCAGCAUCAAACAGAUAAAAAGUGUCUGAGGCCACAUUUGAACUCAGAAAAAUGAUUCUUCUAAAUUCCAUAGCUUAGAGCAGUAGGUAGGUGGUGCAGUGGAUAGAGCCCUUAGCUAUAGAAUAUAGCUUAAGAAAGAUGCAUUGGCCUCACCAAUGGCAAGAACUAAAGUCAUGCAACAAAUUAAACACAUGGUCAAUACGCUGGGGAAAAGAAAUACUUGUGGCAA